UUCAUACUCACAACGUACCGUUUGAUUUACUGCAACAAAAAUCGACAUUUGCUCAAUGUCAUUUUAAGUUUUUUGUGUAUUCGCUCACUUUGUCAUUAAAACCGUAUCAUAAUCUGAUUCGCAAAAAGGAAAUCGACUAAAAAUAAUAAAGAACUAUAUCUGAUCGCUUAAAAUCAAUCGCUGCGCUCGUCACAUCUGUUUACUUUCAUUAGAUAAACCAAGAGAAGAAACAAACAAAUCGAAUUUUGUAAUCAAGUAACAGAAUUGUAUACUUAAGACUACAAGAAUUUGAUGACUUCAGUUCAGUGAAAUCAAAGCGCAACUGACGAAGUUUUGACAUCAAAGAAUAAUAGUAGCAAAUUAAUACUUCAGGCAAGUAUCAAGUGAGCCGAGAGGAAAAUCAGUACAAUUGAAGGGAAAAUUACGAGAAAAAAAUAUCUAUUUCAUCUGAAAGUAAGAACAUUUUAAGUGGAAACACGAUCAAAGUCGCACAAUGUCGUUUGAAAGCAAUUUCAUAAAUGCACGUAAAAUUAUCAGUGCUUCACUAAAGGUGGCCGAUUCUUAUGACGAGAUACAUUUUUGGGAGCAACCAAACGAAAACACUUUCAAUGCGAAACUUUGCAGGGAACUAGGAAUGAAUCCGAAUCAAUCCAGUAUUAAACAAAUUCUUCAUGUGGUUAACGAUUGGAACGUGCAUAAGACUCUCAAAAGUCUAUAUAAAGGCGAAAUCUACGUUAUUAAUCCGACUCGUAAAUUUUAAGAUGCAUUCUCAAAUCUCGACCGUCAAUGUGUGAAUUGUAACUCUUUAGAAAAUUCGAAAUAAAUGAAUCUAACUAUUCGGUGUCCAUAAUUGAAAA